CUGUUCUGCUUCUUUAAAGUGCCUCCUGUGCCAAACGAUUCCCCCUGCAAAUAUAGAAAUGCCCAAAGAGUAAGCGAGCACAGUUUUAUGUCGCCAACGUGUGUCUCCUUUGCUGGUUCGAGCCAUCCAGCCUGCAAAACAAAAUGUACACAAGAGAAAGGGGCCAAAAGAGGGCAAGCUAAAAAGGGGCCACAUCAGACCACUGCCAAUGGGAAAAUCAGAUCAUGGACUGGGACAAUGCAAACAUUAUUUGGAGCAAAAGAUAAACAUCAACGAUGGAUCAAAGCAGCAACACAGAUCAGGAAAUGGGGCACGGACGCAAAUGAAAAGUUGUUAUCAGACACGUGUAAUUGAUUUCUCCAGAACCCAAUGUGGAUGGAGCGGGCCGGGAAGAUCGCAGGGUCGAGAUGUUGUCAUGGCAAUUUGACAUAACAGCGCUAAAUGGAAGUAGCUGUUCAUACUAUUGAAUGCUGACCAUACCCUUGAAUGCUAACGAG